UACAGAGGUCUCAAGCGUUGUUCGGAUUCAUUGGGCGUAAAGGGCGCGUAGGCGGCGCGGCAAGUCGGGUGUGAAAUCUCGGAGCUUAACUCCGAGACUGCAUUCGAUACUGCCGUGCUUGAGGACUGGAGAGGAGACUGGAAUUUACGGUGUAGCGGUGAAAUGCGUAGAUAUCGUAAGGAAGACCAGUGGCGAAGGCGGGUCUCUGGACAGUUCCUGACGCUGAGGCACGAAGGUCAGGGGAGCAAACGGG
rnacentral:rRNA from 1 species